UUUUAUGGAGAGUUUGAUCCUGGCUCAGAGUGAACGCUGGCGGCGUGCCUAAUACAUGCAAGUCGAACGAUGAAGCUUCUAGCUUGCUAGAAGUGGAUUAGUGGCGCACGGGUGAGUAACGCAUAGGUCAUGUGCCUCUUAGUUUGGGAUAGCCAUUGGAAACGAUGAUUAAUACCAGAUACUCCCUACGGGGGAAAGAUUUAUCGCUAAGAGAUCAGCCUAUGUCCUAUCAGCUUGUUGGUAAGGUAAUGGCUUACCAAGGCUAUGACGGGUAUCCGGCCUGAGAGGGUGAACGGACACACUGGAACUGAGACACGGUCCAGACUCCUACGGGAGGCAGCAGUAGGGAAUAUUGCUCAAUGGGGGAAACCCUGAAGCAGCAACGCCGCGUGGAGGAUGAAGGUUUUAGGAUUGUAAACUCCUUUUGUUAGAGAAGAUAAUGACGGUAUCUAACGAAUAAGCACCGGCCAACUCCGUGCCAGCAGCCGCGGUAAUACGGAGGGUGCAAGCGUUACUCGGAAUCACUGGGCGUAAAGAGCGCGUAGGCGGGAUAGUCAGUCAGGUGUGAAAUCCUAUGGCUUAACCAUAGAACUGCAUUUGAAACUACUAUUCUAGAGUGUGGGAGAGGUAGGUGGAAUUCUUGGUGUAGGGGUAAAAUCCGUAGAGAUCAAGAGGAAUACUCAUUGCGAAGGCGACCUGCUGGAACAUUACUGACGCUGAUUGCGCGAAAGCGUGGGGAGCAAACAGGAUUAGAUACCCUGGUAGUCCACGCCCUAAACGAUGGAUGCUAGUUGUUGGAGGGCUUAGUCUCUCCAGUAAUGCAGCUAACGCAUUAAGCAUCCCGCCUGGGGAGUACGGUCGCAAGAUUAAAACUCAAAGGAAUAGACGGGGACCCGCACAAGCGGUGGAGCAUGUGGUUUAAUUCGAAGAUACACGAAGAACCUUACCUAGGCUUGACAUUGAGAGAAUCCGCUAGAAAUAGUGGAGUGUCUAGCUUGCUAGACCUUGAAAACAGGUGCUGCACGGCUGUCGUCAGCUCGUGUCGUGAGAUGUUGGGUUAAGUCCCGCAACGAGCGCAACCCCCUUUCUUAGUUGCUAACAGGUCAUGCUGAGAACUCUAAGGAUACUGCCUCCGUAAGGAGGAGGAAGGUGGGGACGACGUCAAGUCAUCAUGGCCCUUACGCCUAGGGCUACACACGUGCUACAAUGGGGUGCACAAAGAGAAGCAAUACUGCGAAGUGGAGCCAAUCUUCAAAACGCCUCUCAGUUCGGAUUGUAGGCUGCAACUCGCCUGCAUGAAGCUGGAAUCGCUAGUAAUCGCAAAUCAGCCAUGUUGCGGUGAAUACGUUCCCGGGUCUUGUACUCACCGCCCGUCACACCAUGGGAGUUGUGUUUGCCUUAAGUCAGGAUGCUAAAUUAGCUACUGCCCACGGCACACACAGCGACUGGGGUGAAGUCGUAACAAGGUAACCGUAGGUGAACCUGCGGUUGGAUCACCUCCUUUCUAGA
rnacentral:rRNA from 1 species